CCCACUGCUGCUUGAACAAUAUGCUUAACACGUAGUGCCGCAGUCGCUGCUUGGUGUUCACAAUAAUGUUUCGACCCAAAGUAAUGGCUCCCAACAGCUUCCUGAGUGCCUCAUAAGAAGCUGAGGAGAUGUUGGUGCCAUGCUUGUACAGCCUGCAAAACUGUGAGUCAAAAUAAACCUCAUUUCUUCAUAAAUCACCCAGCCUCAGGUAUUGCCCUAUAGCAAUGCAA